rnacentral:tRNA from 1 species
GGGGAGCUAAUCUAAUUAAGAGACCUGAUUUCGACUCAGACCAUUAUGGCUCAACCCCAUAGCUCUCCU